GGAGAGGUGGCAGAGUGGUCGAAUGCACUCGACUUGAAAUCGAGCGAGGCGAAAGUCUCCGAGGGUUCAAAUCCCUCCCUCUCCG
rfam:Gloeomargarita lithophora Alchichica-D10 chromosome.